rnacentral:rRNA from 1 species
CCUACGGGUGGCAGCAGUGGGGAAUAUUGCACAAUGGGGGAAACCCUGAUGCAGCGACGCCGCGUGAGUGAAGAAGUAUUUCGGUAUGUAAAGCUCUAUCAGCAGGGAAGAAAAUGACGGUACCUGACCAAGAAGCCCCGGCUAACUACGUGCCAGCAGCCGCGGUAAUACGUAGGGGGCAAGCGUUAUCCGGAUUUACUGGGUGUAAAGGGAGCGUAGACGGUUGUGCAAGUCAGAAGUGAAAGCCCGGGGCGCAACUCCGGGACUGCUUUUGAAACUGUGAAACUGGAGUGCAGGAGAGGUAAGCGGAAGUCCUGGUGUAGCGGUGAAAUGCGUAGAUAUCAGGAGGAACACCAGUGGCGAAGGCGGCUUACUGGACUGUAACUGACGUUGAGGCUCGAAAGCGUGGGGAGCAAACAGGAUUAGAUACCCUAGUAGUC